rnacentral:rRNA from 1 species
GAUGAACGCUGGCGGCGUGCCUAAUACAUGCAAGUCGAGCGAACGGACGAGAAGCUUGCUUUUCUGAUGUUAGCGGCGGACGGGUGAGUAACACGUGGAUAACCUACCUAUAAGACUGGGAUAACUUCGGGAAACCGGAGCUAAUACCGGAUAAUAUUUCGAACCGCAUGGUUCAUAAGUGAAAGACGGUCUUGCUGUCACUUAUAGAUGGAUCCGCGCUGCAUUAGCUAGUUGGUAAGGUAACGGCUUACCAAGGCAACGAUGCAUAGCCGACCUGAGAGGGUGAUCGGCCACACUGGAACUGAGACACGGUCCAGACUCCUACGGGAGGCAGCAGUAGGGAAUCUUCCGCAAUGGGCGAAAGCCUUACGGAGCAACGCCGCGUGAGUGAUGAAGGUCUUCGGAUCGUAAAACUCUGUUAUUAGGGAAGAACAUAUGUGUAAGUAACUGUGCACAUCUUGACGGUACCUAAUCAGAAAGCCACGGCUAACUACGUG